UAGAUGAAUGCCAUUUUAGUGGUUCUGGUAUUUAUGCUUUUUAACUUCUUAAAAAUAGCAUGGCUUCUUUUUAAAAAAAUUUAUUUUUUUACUGAGGUGGCCUUCUCUGGAUCACCCCCAUCCUUGGCUUCCUGCCACACCCCAAGGCCCACACCUCUUUUCACUACGCAAAGGUCAGCAUGAGUUUGUUUGGGCAUUGUCUGUGCUGUAGUCUCUUGGCUGGCUGUGUUGUUCUGCCUACAGGGUUAUCUCGAGACUCUGAGAGCAGGUCUAACCAAAGAGGAUUCCACAGAACACUAGGCCAGCCUCAUGACUCAAACCUCAGAUCUGCCACCAACCAAGUCCUGACUCUGUGUGGGCUACCUAAUUUAGUUUAGGAUUCCUCCUCUGUUACAAAGGAGCCCACAAUUCCUACCUGCUGUGUUGUCAUGGAAACUUCUCUCCUUAUUGCCUGUCAGUCACAGAGCAGGGGAGCAGGAGUCCUUCACUAGCCUUGUCUCCUCUUACUCCCAUGACCGGACUGAGAAACACCCAGAGACACCACAACUUCUGUGAUCAUGGAAGAGAAGGAUGGAGCCUACCAUCUCUGCCAUUCACACCCACCACCAAGACCCUUCAGUGACAUCCUGCCUCAGAAGGGGCUUUCAGGUUUUUCAUCUGGCUCUGAAAUAGAACUGGGGUGCACAACGAGGAAGAACAUGGCUGGUUAUAGUUCCUGGGCAUUCAGAGACAGAGGCUUUGUCAAGAAGGAAGAAGUGUCUCCUUAAUAUUGUAGCAAGGCUUUACAGACUACAAAUAAUUAUGGCAAUAUAAAUAGCCAACACAAAGUGGGUACUUACAAUACACUGGACUAGAUGCUUUACUAAGUGCUGUGGAUGCAGUUUUUAAUUCAGUCUUUGGGCAUCUUUCCUCUUCUUUUCAUAGACUAGAAAUCCGAAGAUUAAAGGAGCCCGGUGGCUUGUAUGAUAUCAUAUACAAAAUGUCUGCAAUUGAACUAAACCCAGAACCUUACUUUCUAUGUUGGGGUGUCUCGUAAAUGUAUAGAAAUGGUCUAUAUUUCAUAGUGUUUUUUCUAUUUCAUUUUAUUAAAUUGUAAUCUUUUAAUAUGAAACUAGAUUGCAUUUUGAGUUUGUUCUCCCCUCAUAGACGAUCCUUCCGGUGCCAUCAUUGUAAUGAGUUGUUCCAGGGUACAUUUUUUAACAUAUUGAGUUCCUAGUUUUGUUAAUAUUCAUUUCAUUUCUUUCUUUCUCUGCACCGCUAUUUCUCACACACUUCUUCUGUUGCAUCAGGUCCACAUGGAGGCCACUGUGGUCACGUGCAUUGGUUGAUUGUGCUUGCCUUUCUCCCUGAAGCCCAUCUUUCCCAGGAGCUGCAAACAGGAUAGGGCCUGGCUGGAAAUUAAGCAGAUUCCAUGAGCAACCAAAUCUAAUGAGUCCUACAGAUUGAGGCAUUAGCGGCCACGUCUUGGAUUGUAGCGCAUGGCUCAUUGCGGACUGUCAUUUGGGCACAUCAUCCCACAGUGGCCCUGUGUGGACGGUAUGGAGGAAGACUGAGAUCCAGAGGCUGAGUAGCUCCCUCGAGGCUACCUAUAAGCAGACGCCCACCUGAAACUUGAACUCAGACCUCUGGAUUGAGUCUGGCACUUUACCCGACUCAUCAGUCCUUUCCUGAUGCUUUUUCUUCCAGCCAAGAGUAAAGAUGGAGCUAAGACAAUUAGAAGGCCCAGAUGCUGCAGCGGCAAAUUUCUUCUGGAAACUACAGAAUCCUGCCUGAAUUCAAAUCCCGUGAUCUCUCUUUCUCUUCCACAUGCCACCAGGAGAUGUCCCUAAGCAAGACAUCUACAUUCGCACAGACCUUAGGGACUGGACCUUCAUUAGUCACCACCUAAAACGCACUCGUGAAUCUGCCACUAGUCCAUUUGAGAAUAUGAUGAAUGGCAUUGUUUUAGUGAAAUAGCCACCAGAUAUGAGUGGUCCCUCUUCUCAGGCUUAGUCCUGAUGAUGGAGUGCUAAUGUCAUCAGUGCUUUGGUCAUAACUGCUUCAGUGGUCUCCAGUGCCAAAGAUGGGAGCUUCACUUGCCUCUGCCCUGGGUCAGGGUUCUGCCUGGGUUCAAAGUCUGGAUUAGUGAUUUCCUGGUGU
rnacentral:sRNA from 1 species